AGGGAUGUGACUCAAUGGUAGAGUGCUUGCCUAGCAUGUGCAAAACCCUGGGUUCAACCCUCAGCACCACAA
rnacentral:tRNA from 1 species